CAGAAGGGGGACAGAGUAAGAAAUGAAGUUUGAAACCAACAACAAUGUAAGCUGAUCGAUGAGAGGAUGAUUUGCCCCGUCAGUGAGGUCGAUGGAGACAGUGGGCGACGUCAGCAAGAGACUGAAAUCAAAACAAUGGAAUUGACUGUGCACAUAAUGAACUUUACAGACUUGCAAACAUUUAGUGUAUUUGGAAUUUACGUAGUUCCUGUAAAAUCUCUCUCAGGUAUGUGGAGGGCUCGUCUCACACUCUCUCGAACCUACAAAUAUUGUAGACCAUUAUAUGGUAUAGUAUUAGCUAAGGUUAGGCUUAGGGUAUUCUUAUAUAAUUGUUAAGACUCUUAUAUUCUUGUUGUACCUUUUAUUCUUUUCUUUUAUUAAUUGCUGUAAAUAAAUCGCUUUUGCUUAUAUUAUAUUUGUGUCGAUCAUUCGUUCCUGGAUCCCCGUGCCACUUGCUGACGCGCUUAUAUUCGAAUGUU
rnacentral:lncRNA from 1 species